rnacentral:rRNA from 1 species
GACGUAGGGGGCCAGCGUUGCUCGGAAUUACUGGGCGUAAAGGGUCCGUAGGCGGUGCGGUAAGUCGGGAGUGAAAUCUCUGGGCUUAACUCAGAGGCUGCUUCCGAAACUACCGUGCUCGAGUGCGAGAGAGGCAAGUGGAAUUGCGGGUGUAGCGGUGAAAUGCGUAGAUAUCGGGAGGAACGCCGGUGGCGAAAGCGGCGUGCUGGACCUCUUCUGACGCUGAGGCGCGAAAGCCAGGGGAGCAAACGGG